rnacentral:rRNA from 1 species
ACGAACGCUGGCGGCGUGCUUAACACAUGCAAGUCGCACGGAAAGGCCCUGCUUUUGUGGGGUGCUCGAGUGGCGAACGGGUGAGUAACACGUGAGUAACCUGCCCUUGACUUUGGGAUAACUUCAGGAAACUGGGGCUAAUACCGGAUAGGAGCUCCUGCUGCAUGGUGGGGGUUGGAAAGUUUCGGCGGUUGGGGAUGGACUCGCGGCUUAUCAGCUUGUUGGUGGGGUAGUGGCUUACCAAGGCUUUGACGGGUAGCCGGCCUGAGAGGGUGACCGGCCACAUUGGGACGGAGAUACGGCCCAGACUCCUACGGGAGGCAGCAGUGGGGAAUAUUGCACAAUGGGCGGAAGCCUGAUGCAGCAACGCCGCGUGCGGGAUGACGGCCUUCGGGUUGUAAACCGCUUUCGCCUGUGACGAAGCGUGAGGGACGGUAAUGGGUAAAGAAGCACCGGCUAACUACGUG